rnacentral:rRNA from 1 species
AUUGAACGCUGGCGGCAUGCUUUACACAUGCAAGUCGAAUGGUAACAGGUUAAGCUGACGAGUGGCGAACGGGUGAGUAAUGCAUCGGAACGUGCCCGGUCGUGGGGGAUAACGCAGCGAAAGCUGCGCUAAUACCGCAUACGAUCUGAGGAUGAAAGCGGGGGACCGUAAGGCCUCGCGCGAUCGGAGCGGCCGAUGUCAGAUUAGGUAGUUGGUGGGGUAAAGGCUCACCAAGCCAACGAUCUGUAGCUGGUCUGAGAGGACGACCAGCCACACUGGGACUGAGACACGGCCCAGACUCCUACGGGAGGCAGCAGUGGGGAAUUUUGGACAAUGGGCGAAAGCCUGACCCAGCAAUGCCGCGUGCAGGAAGAAGGCCUUCGGGUUGUAAACUGCUUUUGUACGGAGCGAAAAGGUCUCCUCUAAUACAGGGGGCUCAUGACGGUACCGUAAGAAUAAGCACCGGCUAACUACGUGCCAGCCGCCGCGGUAA